UUUUUUUAAGUCUGAUGUGAAAGCCCUCGGCUUAACCGAGGAAGUGCAUCGGAAACUGGGAAACUUGAGUGCAGAAGAGGACAGUGGAACUCCAUGUGUAGCGGUGAAAUGCGUAGAUAUAUGGAAGAACACCAGUGGCGAAGGCGGCUGUCUGGUCUGUAACUGACGCUGAGGCUCGAAAGCAUGGGUAGCGAACAGGAUUAGAUACCCUGGUAGUCCAUGCCGUAAACGAUGAAUGCUAGGUGUUGGAGGGUUUCCGCCCUUCAGUGCCGCAGCUAACGCAUUAAGCAUUCCGCCUGGGGAGUACGACCGCAAGGUUGAAACUCAAAGGAAUUGACGGGGGCCCGCACAAGCGGUGGAGCAUGUGGUUUAAUUCGAAGCAACGCGAAGAACCUUACCAGGUCUUGACAUCUUUUGAUCACCUGAGAGAUCAGGUUUCCCCUUCGGGGGCAAAAUGACAGGUGGUGCAUGGUUGUCGUCAGCUCGUGUCGUGAGAUGUUGGGUUAAGUCCCGCAACGAGCGCAACCCUUAUGACUAGUUGCCAGCAUUUAGUUGGGCACUCUAGUAAGACUGCCGGUGACAAACCGGAGGAAGGUGGGGAUGACGUCAAAUCAUCAUGCCCCUUAUGACCUGGGCUACACACGUGCUACAAUGGAUGGUACAACGAGUUGCGAGACCGCGAGGUCAAGCUAAUCUCUUAAAGCCAUUCUCAGUUCGGACUGUAGGCUGCAACUCGCCUACACGAAGUCGGAAUCGCUAGUAAUCGCGGAUCAGCACGCCGCGGUGAAUACGUUCCCGGGCCUUGUACACACCGCCCGUCACACCAUGAGAGUUUGUAACACCCGAAGCCGGUGGUCGUAA
rnacentral:rRNA from 1 species